rnacentral:rRNA from 1 species
AUAACUCCGGGAAACCGGAGCUAAUACCGGAUAGUUCCUUGAACCGCAUGGUUCAAGGAUGAAAGACGGUUUCGGCUGUCACUUACAGAUGGACCCGCGGCGCAUUAGCUAGUUGGUGAGGUAACGGCUCACCAAGGCGACGAUGCGUAGCCGACCUGAGAGGGUGAUCGGCCACACUGGGACUGAGACACGGCCCAGACUCCUACGGGAGGCAGCAGUAGGGAAUCUUCCGCAAUGGACGAAAGUCUGACGGAGCAACGCCGCGUGAGUGAUGAAGGUUUUCGGAUCGUAAAGCUCUGUUGUUAGGGAAGAACAAGUGCAAGAGUAACUGCUUGCACCUUGACGGUACCUAACCAGAAAGCCACGGCUAACUACGUGCCAGCAGCCGCGGUAAUACGUAGGUGGCAAGCGUUGUCCGGAAUUAUUGGGCGUAAAGGGCUCGCAGGCGGUUUCUUAAGUCUGAUGUGAAAGCCCCCGGCUCAACCGGGGAGGGUCAUUGGAAACUGGGAAACUUGAGUGCAGAAGAGGAGAGUGGAAUUCCACGUGUAGCGGUGAAAUGCGUAGAGAUGUGGAGGAACACCAGUGGCGAAGGCGACUCUCUGGUCUGUAACUGACGCUGAGGAGCGAAAGCGUGGGGAGCGAACAGGAUUAGAUACCCUGGUAGUCCACGCCGUAAACGAUGAGUGCUAAGUGUUAGGGGGUUUCCGCCCCUUAGUGCUGCAGCUAACGCAUUA